GGCUCAGGCUGACCUUGAACUCAUGAUCCUACUGCCUCAGUCCCACAUCUGGCUCGUUUUAUCUUCAGAGGGUCUCAUUCUGUAGUUCAGAAUGUUCUGGAACUCACUACAUACCUGACUGGUCUUGGAUUUAUGGUGAACCUCCUGGCUCACCCAAGUCUUGGGAUCACAGAUCGUCUCAUAUGGCCUAGCCUGGCCUGGAAUUACUCAGUAGCUGAGGCUGCCCUUGAACUCUCUGAUACUUCUCCCUCCACCUCCCUCCAUGCAAAACUGGAGAUUUUUGAGAGCUGAAGGUUUGUUUGUUCAAGAUCUCCCAGCAGUUAUCCGACAAGUUCCGGCCAAACCCCGGAUCUCAGCUGUCAGUCACUACACCAACUGAAUCCUUCAGCCUUGGCACUUGGAUGGCAAAGGUUGAGCUACCCAGUUAGUUCUCUUUUUCAGUUUUUUAGUUCCCUAGGGCUAGUUCCUUCUACCAGAAACCCAGAGUGCUGUAACUAAACGUUUCUUUCAGUUCCCUCACGAGCACAGAGGCAAGGAUGGGUUUGAAGUCUCUGAUCUAUGCAGCUGAAUAACCCCUUUCCUUUGGUAGGUUGGUUCAUCACUACCAGCCUUCUCGUGCGCAUGAUGGAGGCUCCUCCCUGGUAUUGUCUGUUCUCCUUCACAGACUGGUAUUUAAACUGUUGUUUGAAUCCAUUACCCUAACAGGGUCUAACAAGGUCUCUCUACAUAGCUCUGCCUGUCAUGGAACUCACUAUGUAGACCAGGUUGGCCUCAAACUAACAGAGAUCCACCUGUUUCUGCCUGUGCUGCGAUUAACGGAGUGUGACACCACCACUCAGCUACUCUGUUUCUUUUUGUUGUUGUUUGGAUAUCUGACAAACUCAUUAAACUGGGUUAAGGCAAGGUGAGCACCAUCACCAUGCUGCCUUUGUUUAUUAUUCUUACUACAUUCUGUUCAUUUAUUUAGUGUGUGUUUGUAUGGGAAUAUUUUCUCCAUGGCACAAGUGUGGAGGUCAGAGGACAUGCAUCAGCUCUGUCUUUCACCAUGUGGGUUUUGGAGAUCAAACCC